AGAGUUUGAUCCUGGCUCAGAACGAACGUUGGCGGCGUGGAUUAGGCAUGCAAGUCGAACGAAUCCCCAGCAAUGGGGGGAAGUGGCGAAAGGGGCAGUAAGGCGUGGAUAACCUACCCCGAGGACCGGGAUAGCCACUCUAACGAGUGGGUAAUACCGGGCGCGGUAGUCGAGGGGCAUCCCUUGGCUAUGGAAAGGUCCUCCGCCUCGGGAGGGGUUCACGUAGUAUUAGCUAGUUGGUGAGGUAACGGCCCACCAAGGCUGAGAUGCUUAGCGGGUGUGAGAGCACGACCCGCGCCACUGGCACUGAGACACUGGCCAGACUCCUACGGGAGGCUGCAGUCGAGGAUCUUCGGCAAUGGGCGCAAGCCUGACCGAGCGACGCCGCGUGUGCGAUGAAGGCCUUCGGGUUGUAAAGCACUGUCGAGGGGAAGAAAGCCGCAAGGUUGAUCGACCCCUGGAGGAAGCACGGGCUAAGUUCGUGCCAGCAGCCGCGGUAAGACGAACCGUGCGAACGUUGUUCGGAUUCACUGGGCUUAAAGGGCGCGUAGGCGGGUCAUCAAGUCUGGGGUGAAAUCCUUCGGCUCAACCGGAGAAGUGCCCCCGAUACUGGUGGUCUGGAGGGAGGUAGGGGUGUGUGGAACUUCCGGUGGAGCGGUGAAAUGCGUAGAUAUCGGAAGGAACGCCGGUGGCGAAAGCGACGCACUGGACCUCUUCUGACGCUGAGGCGCGAAAGCCAGGGGAGCAAACGGGAUUAGAUACCCCCGUAGUCC
rnacentral:rRNA from 1 species